AAGACCUCCAGAAGCUCUUGAUCUGCUCUGAUGUUUCCUGACAGAGAGAAGGCUGGGCAGAUGGGCCAACAUCACACACACACUGCAGAAUCCAUGUGCUUUCUCUGCAUCCCUCCCCUGGUCUCAGGGAAGGACUGUCGCUGCGGUCCAGGAGGGAGGCAGCUUCAUCAGUAGGCAUGACUCCUAGCCUGCGCUCCUGGAUUUGGUCUUGAAGAGAGAUUUCUUUGUGUUUAUUGCACAUAGACAGGCAGCUCCAUUACCUAUUAACUUGGCUUCCUUCCCAUUAAGUUACUGAACUUUGAGCAUUGGGGAGGCCGAGCAGGAAGGGAGGCCAGGCAGGGUUCUAAGAGAGCUCUGUCUUCGGCAAGUAAUGAAUUCCCCCGGCAGCUGUUCCCACUUAGUCUGGAUGCAUUGAGAAGAUGUGAAGAUGGGCUUCAUUGCUCUAUCCUGCUUGCAGCUCGGAAGAUGAGGAUUGGCUCUCCUCUUGGGGAGAUGGUCUGGGGACCAGACAUGAGCUGCUGAGGCCAGAGGGAAGACUGGCCAGUGCUCUGGCCACACGCUGGAACAGCCAAGAGAGAUGAGAGAUGGAGCAAAGCCACAGGGUGUAAACGUAGGCUUGAAUAAGGAGUCCAGUCAAAGAGCCGGAGGGACUCCCCUUCAUUGAGUUCCUCACUGUCGACACACACAGAGAGCGGGAAGGAGUGACCACACAUCCAGAGCCUGCUGUGGAGGAGACACAGCGACAGGCCUAUUCAAUACUUAUCUCGUUUAAUCUGCAUGCCAAUGUCAAAGCUUGAGGAGAUUAUGUGAAUUUGGGAAGGACACAUAGCAGAGCCAGGAUUCAAUUCAGAUCUGCUUGACUCCAAGGCCAUUCCAGAAAUCUCCCUUUCUUUAGGCCUUCUGACAUGAGAGUUGGGUUCUUUCUGCCAAGAUUUCCAUCUCUGACGAUCAUUUAAAUGAAUACAAGAGUGCAGGUGGGCUCUAAUCCAAUACGACUAAUGUCCUUAUGAGACGAGGAAAUUAACACAUGGAAAAGCACAGAAGGAAGACCACGUGAGGACACCAGGAGAAGAAGGCCACCUACAAGCCAAGGAGAGAGGCCUCAGAAGAAAGCAACCACACUGGCACCUUGAUCUCAGACUUCUAACCUCCAGAUUUAAGGCAUGGCGGAGUCCUUCAGAUUAUGGAUGCCGCCAAACUUGACAUUCCACCCUGAAUGUAUCCAGUGUUUCAAUUCUCUGGCAAGAAGAGCUGAUGGAGGUUUCUGAGCUAGAAAGGGCUUUGUCCAGAAUUGGGCUUUAAGCAAAUUAUUUUGUCAGUUGAAUACUGGAAAAUUUGGAGCCAAGGAGACCAUAAAAAGGAGACCAGGAUGACGCUGCGUCACCAGUUCAGGAUGUUCAGGUUGGCGGCAACAGUCCCCACCCUGUGCCAAAGGAAGGUUUCCAUCACUUCGAAUGGGAAGACACACUUGCGACCCCACUGUGCAGCCCUUGUGUGAUGAGAACUAUAUAAUGUUAUACCUCCUGUGCAAUUCCACGAAACAACCCCACUCUUCACCUACUCCUUGCAGCAGCGGCUGUGGUGUUGCUGUCUAAUUAUGCACAGUGUUGUGUGGGUGAUUUUCCUGAGUUGGACAGGACAGCUCCUCAAAGAAUUUUAUAUGUGUGUGUGUGUGUGUGUGUGUGUGUGUGUGUGUGUGUGUUCAGCCUUCCUCAGACCACCAAAAUAAAUCCUGUGCUUUCUUGCUCAAUUCUUACCUUUUUUGGUUCUAAUUGGAGAGUCAGGAAAGCAGUCUUUGGGUGGCGAGAGAAGGGGGAGGAGGACGAUAUCUGUGCCGGGCCUGGCGAUGGUGGGCCAGGUGUGGCUAAGAGUGGAAAGAAAGUUUCUCAAAAAAAAGUCAUUCUAAACUAUGUAUUUGGAUCCCGUUCAUGCUUUUUGAGAAAUGCAGGUAAAUAAUUUUUUAUUAUUUUUGGUUGUUAUAUUGUCUAUUUUGGCUAUGAUACUCCCCACAAAUAAACUAUGAAGACCCCUUACAAUAAAGAUUAUAUUUUAAUAAAAAGUAAA
rnacentral:lncRNA from 1 species